CAAAACGAAGCGAUAAAGGAUCAUCAGAUGAUGGAGGAAGGGAAACAACUUGAUUUGAAAGGAGUAAGUGGAAGAAGGAGGAAGAGUGGGUACUGCUGUGGGCAAUGGAAUAUGCAAAAAUAAAAUACACCAACAGCCAGAGAGAAAGAUGUGGAGAAUGGCAGAGAAUAUUCCACCACCACUGUCCAAGUAAAAAAGACAUCCCAAGAAAGCAACUCACCACCCAAAGACACAACUUUAUCACACAAAAACACUUCUCGGAUGCGGAAAUACAAGUGAUGCAACACAAGGUUGGACAAAUGGUCAGAGACGGCAUCUGCCCUCUAACACAACCCAUUGGACCACCAAGAAAUGACUGUCCUCAGAAAACAUACAGCCAACAAAAAACACCAGACCAAGCCAGCCUCUCACACCAAAGAAAGUAGGAGUUAAACACAGUCCCAACACAAUAGGAGUCAAACACCUAACCAACAAAAAAAGGACUCAAGGCACUGCCCCCCCCCCCCAAAAAAAAAACCGAGUCAUUCACUGCGCCCCCAAAAAACGAGUCAUUCACCAGCUCAUCCACAAAACAAUAUACAGGUGCACCCAGACCCAGAACAGCGGGAAUUAGAAGAGGAACUGGCAAAUAAGAUUGAGGAAACAAGAAAAAUAGACAUGAAAGAGCGUCCAAAAUUGACUAAAUUAAAGGAGAACAAACAUUUCAAAACUAUCCUACAAAAAGUUAACCUGGGACUGGCUAAACUGGUCCCAGAAGGAACCACAUUGACAGAUUUAAACAGUGUACAUUAUGGAGCUGCAUGGUACAUACAAAGUAAAUUAGCCCCACAAGAUUUGGAGAGAAAAGGAACCACUAUUAC